AUUGAACGCUGGCGGCAGGCCUAACACGUGCAAGUCGAACGGUAGCAGGAAACAGCUUGCUGUUUCGCUGACGAGAGGCGGAGGGGUGUGUAAUGUCUGGGAAACUGUCUGAUGGAGGGGGAUAACUAGUGGAAACGGUAGCUCAUACCGCAUAACGUCGCAACACCAAAGAGGGGGACACCCGGGCACCUUGCCAUCGGAUGUGCCCAGAUGGGGUUAGCUUGUUGGUGGGGUAACGGCUCACCAAGGCGACGAUCCCUAGCUGGUCUGAGAGGAUGACCAGCCACACUGGAACUGAGACACGGUCCAGACUCCUACGGGAGGCAGCAGUGGGGAAUAUUGCACAAUGGGCGCAAGCCUGAUGCAGCCAUGCCGCGUGGAUGAAGAAGGCCUUCGGGUUGUAAAGUACUUUCAGCGGGGAGGAAGGGAGUAAAGUUAAUACCUUGGCUCAUUGACGUUACCCGCAGAAGAAGCACCGGCUAACCCCGUG
rnacentral:rRNA from 1 species